GAAGAUGAGUGGGUCCCUCUGCACAGGGCCAGGAGCAAGCCUGGAGGCAUCAGCGGGUCUGUACCAUGUUGUGUUCCUUAGAAAAUGACUCUGUGCUGUCCCAGAUGUUACAGUCAAAGCAAAAACACCAUUUGGAAAAGGCAACGCUUUCCUCGUGCAGCAAGGAGACAGCUGAGCACUGUUUAUAGAUGCAUUUAAUCAGCCCAAAAUGAGUUUCACGGAGGAGGCAAUAGACAACCUAAUUAGUGACUUGUCUGUGGUCUAACCAGCCAGGUCAGGGAAGGGCACCUAAAGAGAAGUGAUAGAUCCUGCAAAGGGGCCCCACCUCCACAGGAUUAAUGAAAACCCUUCCCCAAAUAAGAAUAUUCUCGAGCAGUGAGAGGAUGGAGAAUUUUUUUCAACGAGUGAAGGUGAAAUACAAAGGGAAAUAGCGGACAAGCUUUUUUUUUAAUGUGCAAAUGAUACCAGUGCAACGGAGAAGUGUACAGGAAAAGAAAUAGUUUUGCAUAAAUGCCUCUCUCUCAGUAGAUAUUGCAAAGGAAUGCAAACGCAAAAUGAGCUUGAGCGUACUUAAAGGGCAGUGAUCUGAUGAAGAUGAGAAGUGCAGAGUUAAUGUUCUCUCCUGGAUUUCUUCACAAAGUUACUGAGUAAGUUUUCCCCAGCCUGCUUCAUAUCCCUGCAAAUGAGAAGAAGGGAAUUUGUGGCUGCAGUGAGGUGGUGGAUGUUGGCAUUGCACUGAGCACCACUCUCCGCCACAUUUGGGCUCUUGGGGAAGUUUUUGGGACCUCGAGCAGACAGCAAUCUUCAGCCUGAGGUAUGUCAGACCAUGUGAUUUAAUGGGCACUAAAACCAGGGAGCUGAUGGAUUUUUCUAUGUAGCCAAAGGCUCUGCAAAGGUGGCAGAGCAGAGAUACAGAGGACAUGUGGUGAUGGAGGAGACCCAGCCCUGACCAGGAGAUCCCCAUCCCCGUGCUGUUCUCAUGUCCCCAACGUCUCCAUAGCCAAGCUGGAACUGGAUGGAGCCGUCAGCAAGAAUUAUUCCCACGUACCUGUGGUAUGAAAGGCCUUUGUGUUAUGGUUGUGCAUAAAUAGUUACUGUAAAAAAAAAAAAAUGUUAUUUUAAAUCCAAAAACUGUCACAUUUCCUUCCUAAAUGAUAACUAAAUCCAUACAGCACCUGAAGAGGUUUUCUAUCUCUUUCAAUUUAAAGCUUCAUUUGUGACAAAAGAGCAUUAAAAUAGGAAAACAUUCUUUUAAAGAGAGAUAGCUCUAAUAUUUGAUAACUUAUAAAAGUUAAUAUAUGUUUAUAUUAUCUGAUACAUAUGA
ensembl:lncRNA